rfam:Lepisosteus oculatus linkage group LG13, whole genome shotgun sequence.
ACCAGCAGCCAUAUCACCCUGCAACUCACAACUUUCAGCCCCACUGAAGCUCAGCAGGUCUGAGCCCAGCCAGUACCUGGAUGGGAGACCUCCUGGGAAAAACUAAGGUUGCUGCUGGAA